GGGUGGGGGAGCAGUGAACCUUGCCUGGGGCUUUGAUCUCAUACCACACAUAUCAUACAGACAUCAAGUGAGGGGAGAGUUUCAUAGUAAAUUGUUAAUAGAAAAUAGUUGCAAUCACUAAAGCCUGUUGUCAACAGUGAUGUGGGUGGAAUAUUUUAUGGCUGUUUAUGCAAAAUUUACAACCAAGUCAAAUUAUGCUUAUUGAAACUCGCAAACAGUGUUAUUUUUAAUAAGAUGAAAGAGAGACUGUUAGGGACUUUAUUCAGAAUUACCAUGUACUAUGUGAAGGAUUUUGGUUUCAUAUAUGUUUAUACAUGGUUUCACAUAUGUAUAUGCAUGAUAAUUCUGAAUAAAAUCCCUAACAGCCCCACAUAUAGUAGCACUAAAAAUAACUAAAAGGUUCUUCCCCGAUAAACAGAAGAACACCACAGAAAACAACAAUGCGCAUUCAGUGCUUGUCAAACAGGAAUGGAGAAUUCACACCUCUUUUUUUCACAUGACCUAGUCAAAGACUCUCAUAUCUGAUGCAAACCUGCACUGAAAGAGCUGCUUCUGCACAAAUGCACAGGCUGUCUCCAGAUGAUCUUUCAGUCUUCUAGCAUAUUCCAGACCAGCAGGCAAAGGAGGGUGUCUGAAGACCAGCUCAGCUGGCAUCUGAAUCUCCCUUCCCAGGAUACGGAGAGCUGGUGUGCAAGAGCUGGAGGCUGUAAGGAUCAGGGAGGGGUGAUAUGUGUCUUAGUGAUGCUUAACCACUUGCACUUGGUGAAAAACAACCUGGGACUCAAAAUCUCUUCCCUGAUCACCGCAAAUGGAUUACAGUGCCCAAAACCAGUUAAACUUUUCCUCAACCAGUAUAUCCCCUGUGAACUCAGCAUCCUGGUCAGGGAGGGCAUAAACCUCUGGCCACAGGUGUUUGGACAUAGUGAUGACCCUUGUGGUUGCAUGGCAAGAGGAUUGAUUGCAGUUUGUUGUAGCACCCACCAUACAACAAACCAUCUCUGGGAUGAGAACCAGGAUGAUUACAGCCAUGUGGCGGACGAUACCACAGUACCACACUAGUCCGAAUGGACCACCAUGGGCUUCUUUCCAGUGGCUGGAAGGCCAAUCCUGCCACCAACCCCAAGUUUUUCCCUGUAAGUUGGAGGGCCUCCUUACAGAGUGGGAUGUAGAUUAACAUCAUACCCAGGAUGACGCAAUUGCAGGUUAAGGGCCUUGCUCAAGGGUCCCAUUUUCUCCAGUGAUUCACAGGAUUUGAACCAGCAAUGUUUCAGCACAGAUCCCAAGCCUCAGAGCCACCAUUCCACCUGACAUAGCAAGGGCCCCAUUUAUAUCCAGUCCUAUCUUCUGCAUUGGCUGUGAGACUGACCCCCAGUGGCCCUUAAUGUGCAGUGGUAGACAGUUUUUGUCACUGCAAAGUGGCCAGAUCUAGGGGUUCCAUGCAUGGUCUGCAGCACAGUCUGCAAUCCCCUUGGUAUCACAACCUGUUAUCUCUCCGCCCCCCCCCCCCCUUGCAAGCUCUAUCCAUCCCCUCUGGGGCACCUGAUUCAACAGACACAGCAUCUCAAACUUUGCCCACCCCCUUUUUGUGCAGGCAGAGCACACUCCCACCUCCUCCCAUAGAGGGUGCUGCUGUGCCUCUACUCUCAUUGCAUCACAGGAUGCAGGUCUGGAUCCUGCGUCUGCUGCUCACCGCAUUCUGCAGCUGCUGCCCUGCAUAACUCCUCUCUGUUCACAGUACCUGCAGGCAGCUUUACUUCAUGAGCAACAGAACCUGUAUCAGCAUUGCCAUGCUGAUCUCCUGUUCGAUCACUUGUAAUUUUGCAGCUCCUCCACAGCAAGAUAACUGUCCCUCCAGCUCCCUGAAGGAUAUCAGCCAAGGCAGCCAAGUGUGGUCACUCCGUAUGGUGAAGGACCAGCCACACAAGUUAUAUUUAAAGUGGUGGCAGAAAUUACUGAUAGGAGCUCCUGGUCGGCCAUAUAGUAAAAAUGAUUAAUUGUCAUUGCGGACACAUCACAACAAUAUAUAAGAUUAUUCCACUGUAUUCUGAAAUCUUAACGGUGUGGUUUUCCAUACCAUCCUAAAAAGUAACCCAAUUAAUUUUUUAAUUAAACUGUAAUGAAACUGCCAAAGUUGGGAAAACUUGAUGUAGUUCAUGAGGGAAAACGCGGAGUAGCAGCCAAUGAUUGGCGUGACCGGAUCUUUAUGCAGCAUUUGUAAAAAAGAGGCAAUAAAGAAACAGCGAGAGAAUUGGUGAAGCCGAGAAGCAUCUGCCCCCAUCUGGCAAUAUUUUGGGUGCAUCCCAAAAUGACAACAUAGAUGAACGUCCACUCACACCUAAGAGUACAUCACUUGCUAGCUGCUGCAAGUACCUUUGUCGACAAUAACAACCAGACCUGCUGUUCAACACCAAUUAACCUAGUAUCAAACACUUCUGUAUAUGUGCAACACGUGAAGUAUCCGAGCGAAAACUCAACAAAGUGAUCACCUCACAGCACUAAAGCCUGGCAAAGUGCACAUGCAUUUCUUUCUAGUAAACAAAAAUAAAAAUACUAUGGCACACAUACCUCUGGGUUCGGGAUUCCUUCCACAUUCUAAAAGUGAGCACGGUAGGUUUACUGGAGACUCUAAGUUGCCCCUGUGAUUGAGUGUACGUCCUACAGUGUGUUGGUGAGGUUCCUGCCUGCGUCCGUUGUUCCUGGGAUAGGUUCCGGUGACCCUCACUGUGUUUAGUGGUUACGGUAAUGGACGGUACGCAUACCACUAGCGGUACUGAAGCUCCCUCUAGUGGUACGUGGAGGUGUCUCUUUGUAGAUGUUGGUCAAAAUAGUCGUGGACGGUGUUAAAAGCUUGAGAACAAUUGUAUUUUUACUACGAAUAUUAUUAAGACUAGUAAAACUUUACACUAAUAAAAGAUAAUUUGGUUUGU